rnacentral:lncRNA from 1 species
ACCCCUGCUGACACCCUGUAGGGGAUAAAGCCGGAAUCUUCAGAAGGAAAAAAUCAUGAGUUUUCUACACUCAGAAAUUAAUGCUCAGGCAUGAAGAGUAAGCCUGGAGCUGGGGCAGAAGGCCUUUGAGAAGUCUGGCCUGGGCAUCUCCUGAGAGGGGCUUUCAUUCUUUUCUUUUUUUCAUUCUACAAAUGAUUCCUGCACAUCGACUGCAUUCAAGGGGAUGCAACGUUGACAAGACAGACAAGGUCCUUGCCCUCCUGGGAUGACUUCUAAGGGGGCAGAGACUAACCUAUGAAAAAGCAAGGGCUAUGGAUCAAGUAUUCUUUGAAGUGCCCUGUUCACUUCAUGGUUCUGUAGAGAAUUAGAAAACUUCCAGGAGUUUCCAAGAAUGCUGAUAUCCAGUUCACCACUUUACCCACUGGUGAGGAGAAGAAAGUCAAAGGAAACCAUAUGUCUUAGACCUUAGUCUCCACUGGUGACCUCUGUCUACCUUGACCCUUUCUCUAUCAGGUUGGAAGAAGCCUUGGAGGGCACACAGAAGCACUUCCUCCUUUUACAAACAAGAAAAGGGACAGAGUGACAACUUUAAAAAAAUCUACAUCUGAAGUUAGUUCUAUAGUUUCCUAUCUCCAGAAGAGGCAGAAAUGAACUCCACCAUGCCUAAA